GCCAGACUCCUACGGGAGGCAGCAGUGAGGAAUAUUGGUCAAUGGGCUAAGGCCUGAACCAGCCAAGUCGCGUGAGGGAAGACGGUCCUAUGGAUUGUAAACCUCUUUUGUCGGGGAGCAACGAGGCCACGUGUGGCCGAAGUGAGAGUACCCGAAGAAAAAGCAUCGGCUAACUCCGUGCCAGCAGCCGCGGUAAUACGGAGGAUCCGAGCGUUAUCCGGAUUUAUUGGGUUUAAAGGGAGCGUAGGUGGAUUGUUAAGUCAGUUGUGAAAGUUUGCGGCUCAACCGUAAAAUUGCAGUUGAAACUGGCAGUCUUGAGUACAGUAGAGGUGGGCGGAAUUCGUGGUGUAGCGGUGAAAUGCUUAGAUAUCACGAAGAACUCCGAUUGCGAAGGCAGUUCACUGGACUGCAACUGACACUGAGGCCCGAAAGUGUGGGUAUCAAACAGGAUUAGAUACCCCCGUAUA
rnacentral:rRNA from 1 species